rnacentral:rRNA from 1 species
AUUGAACGCUGGCGGCAUGCUUUACACAUGCAAGCCGAACGGCAGCGCGGGCUUCGGCCUGGCGGCGAGUGGCGAACGGGUGAGUAAUGCAUCGGAACGUGCCCAGUAGUGGGGGAUAGCCCGGCGAAAGCCGGAUUAAUACCGCAUACGACCUGAGGGUGAAAGCGGGGGACCGAAAGGCCUCGCGCUAUUGGAGCGGGCGAUGUCGGAUUAGCUAGUUGGUGGGGUAAAGGCUUACCAAGGCGACGAUCCGUAGCUGGUCUGAGAGGACGACCAGCCACACUGGGACUGAGACACGGCCCAGACUCCUACGGGAGGCAGCAGUGGGGAAUUUUGGACAAUGGGGGCAACCCUGAUCCAGCCAUGCCGCGUGCGGGAAGAAGGCCUUCGGGUUGUAAACCGCUUUUGUUCGGGAAGAAAUCCUCUGGGCUAAUACCCCGGGGGGAUGACGGUACCGGAAGAAUAAGCACCGGCUAACUACGUG